GACGAACGCUGGCGGCGUGCUUAACACAUGCAAGUCGAACGGAAAGGCCCUGCUUUUGUGGGGUGCUCGAGUGGCGAACGGGUGAGUAACACGUGAGUAACCUGCCCUUGACUUUGGGAUAACUUCAGGAAACUGGGGGUAAUACCGGAUAGGAGCUCCUGCUGCAUGGUGGGGGUUGGAAAGUUUCGGCGGUUGGGGAUGGACUCGCGGCUUAUCAGCUUGUUGGUGGGGUAGUGGCUUACCAAGGCUUUGACGGGUAGCCGGCCUGAGAGGGUGACCGGCCACAUUGGGACUGAGAUACGGCCCAGACUCCUACGGGAGGCAGCAGUGGGGAAUAUUGCACAAUGGGCGGAAGCCUGAUGCAGCAACGCCGCGUGCGGGAUGACGGCCUUCGGGUUGUAAACCGCUUUCGCCUGUGACGAAGCGUGAGUGACGGUGAUGGGUAAAGAAGCACCGGCUAACUACGUG
rnacentral:rRNA from 1 species